GCGGGGAGGAGGGACACUCAGGGCGGCCAGGCCCCGCCUCUGUCACCACCCGGGUUCCGGGAGCUGGCGGCUCCUCACGCCAACCUCGUCCUCAGCUCCAACAGCCCGCAGGGCUUGGCGACCGCUCGGGCCACGAACGGUGUCCACCGGUCCCAGGGAACGUCCUGGGCAGAGGCCUGGGGAGGCCCGAUCCCUGCCCGACUCCACCAAAGAGCCCUAUCUCGGGACUGAGGCCGAGGCAGGGAGGGGCAUGGCGGCACCCCCCAGUUACCUCCCUCCUUACCUGGUCCAGCACCUUCUCCUGACGAAAUCCUUCAUGGUUUUGUGCCCGUGGUACAAGCUGCAGAGGAAGAAGCUGACAUCGAGACCAUGCCGUGGAAGUUUCUGGAAGGUGACGCUGCACGCACAUCCUUUCCCCAGGAGUUACAGAGCCCAGCCCUCAGUGCGAGCCGAAGGUGGGGCUCGGGGGCAGCAGGGGCCUGAGCAUCCUCCCGCAAAGAAGGCUUUUGUCUCCCAGACCUUGAGGCUUCAGGACCAACAGGCCAGCCCUGCUCUGGGACAGCCCCCAGCCCCUACAUGGGAGGACAUCCUGGCCUCGCCCAGCUGCCCUCUCCCGCCUCCCGCGUGCUGCCCCCGACCUCGGGCCGAGCAGGACCCCAGGCACAGGAAGGGAGAAGGCCACACAGCCGCCGCUCUCGUGGGUCGGGACCUGCUUUUCUCCCGCCUGGGGUGAGGCCGGGCAGCAGCCUCCUCCGACACGGCCCCCCACCCCGGACCAACCCCACGGAGCCCCACCGCCUGAUCACCUGAGGAGGCUGGACAAGCUGCCCGAGUGUGAGCCGUCACACUCCCGGCCGGCGACGAUGGCCUUCCACGUCUUCCCGCUGAGCUCGCUCUGGGUGACGCCAUGACGGAAGUACAAGGCCCGGUCUGCCCAGCCGAUGCCCCAGACCUGGAACAGAGAGAGGUGGCGUGGCCCCUCGAUGGGGGCUCUGUCCCCGGCCAGCUCCCCACCACCCUUCAGUGUGGCUCGGAGAAAACUACUACGGGUUGACCUAAGC